UUGUUUUUCUGCCAUUCCUGUGUUGGGAAGUUAUGAGACCCUGACAGAAAAUGAUGAUGGGUCCAGAAGAAGGUGAACAGAAAUAGGCCUAACAUCUUCAGUUAUCAUCAAGCUAUUGAGGCUGUGUUUCCCUACUGCUUUGCCUGGCUGAAAGAGGAAGAAUCCAACAAAGACUUUGACAGCUGGUAUGAAACAUCUGGCAGAUUUCCAGAAAUUUUUCUGCACUCCACCGGGACAUCCAUGAUGACACAUUUUUCUGUGGAAGUUUUAUAAAACAUAGAUGAAAGCCCAAUCUCACAGAAUCAUAGAAUGCCAAAUCCUGCUGAUGUCAUUUCCAAAAUAUCUUCUAAAUCAGUCACCUCCUUUUUAGUUUCACUGAUACCUCCUUAGUGCAAGGCCAUCAUCACCUCUCCCCUACUAUUACAAUAGCCUUCCUAUUAAUCUCAGCGUUUCGAAUCUCUUUUGUCUCCCAGCCAUGCUUCAGACUUCUGCCCAAGUAAUCUUUCUAAUGAUAGACCUGACCCUGAUACACCUCUCUCAAAAAUUUUCAGGUUUCUGAGUUUGCUCUAAGAUCAAAUACAGACUCCCAAUCCUGCCAUUCAAGAGUCUCUACAAUUUGUCUCCAGCC
rnacentral:lncRNA from 1 species